GUGCUUGCUCCGGAAGCACAUAUACUAAAAUUGGAACAAUGCAAAGAUGAGCGUGGCCCUUGUGCAAGGAUGGCACACACAAAUCGGUGAAGUGUCCAUAAUGUUU
ensembl:snRNA U6 U6 spliceosomal RNA